rnacentral:rRNA from 1 species
GACGAACGCUGGCGGUGUGCUUCACACAUGCAAGUCGAACGAGGUAGCAAUACCUAGUGGCGGACGGGUGAGUAACGCGUGGGAAUCUGCCUUUAGAUGGGGGAUAACGGGUCGAAAGACUCGCUAAUACCGCAUAUGACGAAAGUUGAAAGGAGUAAUCCGUCUAAAGAUGAGCCCGCGUCCGAUUAGCUAGUUGGUAGAGUAAAAGCCUACCAAGGCGACGAUCGGUAGCUGGUCUGAGAGGAGUGAUCAGCCACAAUGGGACUAGAGACACGGCCCAUACUCCUACGGAGGCAGCAGUGGGAAUUUUACGCAAUGGCGAAAGCCUGACGUAGCGACACCGCGUGAGCGAGAAGCCCCUGGGUGUAAAGCUCUGUCAGCUGGAACGAAAAAAAUGACGGUACCAGCAGAGGAAGCAUCGGCUAACUACGUGCCAGCAG